rnacentral:rRNA from 1 species
UGCGUAGGUGGUUUCUUAAGUCAGAGGUGAAAGGCUACGGCUCAACCGUAGUAAGCCUUUGAAACUGGGAAACUUGAGUGCAGGAGAGGAGAGUGGAAUUCCUAGUGUAGCGGUGAAAUGCGUAGAUAUUAGGAGGAACACCAGUUGCGAAGGCGGCUUUCUGGACUGUAACUGACACUGAGGCACGAAAGCGUGGGGAGCAAACA